AGACAGGUGGUGCAUGGUUGUCGUCAGCUCGUGUCGUGAGAUGUUGGGUUAAGUCCCGCAACGAGCGCAACCCUUAUCCUUAGUAGCCAGCAAGUCAAGUUGGGCACUCUGGGGAGACUGCCAGGGAUAACCUGGAGGAAGGUGGGGAUGACGUCAAAUCAUCAUGCCCCUUAUGAUUUGGGCUACACACGUGCUACAAUGGCGUAAACAAAGGGAAGCAAAGGAGCGAUCUGGAGCAAACCCCAAAAAUAACGUCUCAGUUCGGAUUGUAGUCUGCAACUCGACUACAUGAAGCUGGAAUCGCUAGUAAUCGCGGAUCAGAAUGCCGCGGUGAAUACGUUCCCGGGUCUUGUACACACCGCCCGUCACACCAUGGGAGUUGGUAACGCCCGAAGUCAGUGACCCAACCGUAAGGAGGG
rnacentral:rRNA from 1 species